rnacentral:rRNA from 1 species
AGUCACUGACAUUAGAUACCCGUCGUAGUCCAGGGUGUAAACGCUGCAGACUUGGUGUUGGGAACCCUUCGGGGGUGCUCAGUGCCGGAGAGAAGUUGUUAAGUCUGCUACUUGGGAGUACGUCCGCAAGGAUGAAACUUAAAGGAAUUGGCGGGGGAGCACCGCAACGGGAGGAGCGUGCGGUUUAAUUGGAUUCAACGCCGAAAAACUCACCAGCAGCGACUGUUACAUGAAAGUCAGGUUGAUGACCUUACUAGAUUUUCAG